GUUUGUAUAGUUUAAAAAAACAUUAGGCUGUGACCCUAAAAAUAGAAGAUAUUCUUACAGACC
rnacentral:tRNA from 2 species